GCCAGGUGUGGUGGCGAACGUCUGUAAUCCUAGCUACACAGGAGGCUGAGGCAGAAGGAUUGCUUGAGCCCAGGAGCUGGAGGCUGCAGUGAUCUAUGAUCAUCACUGCACUCCUGCCUGAGCAACAGAGUGAGACUCUGUCUCAA
rnacentral:SRP_RNA from 2 species